GACGAAGGAUGCAAGCGUUAUCCGGGUUCAUGGGGUUUAAAGGGAGCGUAGGCGGCCUUAUAAGUCAGUGGUGAAAUCUUUGGGCUUAACCCAAAAAUUGCCAUUGAUACUGUAGGGCUUGAGUACAGUUGCUGUGGGCGGAAUAUGACAUGUAGUGGUGAAAUACAUAGAGAUGUCAUAGAACACCGAUUGCGAAGGCAGCUCACAAAACUGUAACUGACGCUGAGGCUCGAAAGUGCGGGGAUCAAACAGG
rnacentral:rRNA from 1 species